rfam:Setaria italica strain Yugu1 chromosome I, whole genome shotgun sequence.
CAGAAUGAUGGAAGCCUGGAAUUGAUCCGGAUUGACCCGAAAAGGAUGCUGUAAAUGGUCUUCCGGUUGAGUCCGUAA